UUCCUUCUGUUGUCUGUGCAG
rnacentral:miRNA from 1 species